UUGGAGGGCAAGUCUGGUGCCAGCAGCCGCGGUAAUUCCAGCUCCAAUAGCGUAUAUUAAAGUUGUUGCAGUUAAAAAGCUCGUAGUUGAAUUUCGGGGUCAGUAGGUUGGUCAUGCCACUGGUAUGUACCGGUCUCACUGAUUCCUCCUUCCUGAUGAACUGUAAUGCCAUUAAUUUGGUGUUGCAGGGAAUCUGGACUGUUACUUUGAAAAAAUUAGAGUGUUUAAAGCAGGCUAACGCCUGAAUACAUUAGCAUGGAAUAAUGAAAUAGGACGUUCGAUCCUAUUUUGUUGGUUUCUAGGAUUGACGUAAUGAUUAAUAGGGAUAGUUGGGGGCAUUAGUAUUCAAUUGUCAGAGGUGAAAUUCUUGGAUUUAUUGAAGACUAACUACUGCGAAAGCAUUUGCCAAGGAUGUUUUCAUUAAUCAAGAACGAAAGUUAGGGGAUCGAAGACGAUCAGAUACCGUCGUAGUCUUAACCAUAAACUAUGCCGACUAGGGAUCGGAUGAUGUUAAUUUUUUAAUGACUCAUUCGGCGCCUUACGGGAAAC
rnacentral:rRNA from 1 species